UAUGCGUGUGCAAGAGGCUUUAUGCGUGUGCAAGAGGUGUAAUGCGGUUGCAAGAGGCGUAAUGCGUGUGCAAGAGGCGUUAUGCGUGUGCAAGAGGCGUUAUGCGUGUGCAAUAGGCAUUAUGCGUGUGCGUGGCGGCUGCAUUACCUGUUAUUUCUAUUUUCAAUACAUGUGACAAUGAGAAGCACAAGGAAUUGAACCUCUUUUCCUAUGUAUAAAUACUAGGGAUGCACCGAUACCGAUACUUCGUUAAAAUACUCGUACUCGUACUCGUUUUGAAUUGCCGAUACCAAGCACCGAUACCACUCAUCAGUAUUUCACUGCAUCAAACUGGCCGGGCUAUGCUGACACAAAAUGUGAUUUAUUGUCCUACCUGUCCUACCACUCUCUGCCAGACUAGUGUGAAAUUACCCAUUGCCUUCCAACAACAAGCUUUCCUCACGCACCAAAUGGCUGGGGCCAUGAUGUAUUUAAAGUGUGAAAAUGCAUGUCCGGGGCAGUAGUUACGGUAACUAUGUUGUUAAUUUCUUCACUAACUUUUUAAAAGUUCAGUUUCCCAGUGAGCGUGCCAGAUAAUGUAGAGAGUUAUGGUUACGCUCAACAAGCAUGACUGUAUCCUUGGAGAUGCACGCCCCACUGUUCAAAGCAGUUACUGAGAUACUGAUAAUGAGGUGUUAAACACAUUCAGCUGAGUUGGAGGAGUUCAGAGGAGUCUUGGAAACAGGCAUAACGCUCACUGUUUAUGAAACACUGAUACAAUAUAAGACUGCUUCUCAAGCCAGCGGCACCAGAAUUAUUGGGGGUUUUCCGUCACAAAAAAAAAUAAUUAUAGAAGAGGGAACCGGUAGGGAUCGCUCUCUAGAGUGGUGUACCAACUGUAAAACGGUUUCUUCCUCCCUGUAGUCACACUAUCUGCCCCUGUUGCUGAGUCUUUAUCACAGUAUGCAGACACCAACGGUCACCCAUGGUUCCUGAGAUAAAUAAGGCCAUACAAACUGCAGUGAAUGCCACCUCUGAGCCACAGAAAAGUCUUAUAAUGUCUCUGGCCACAGUAAGUCUGAGCCUUAGCAGGGACGUGCACAGGAGGGGAUAAGGUUGUUCGGGCAACUGCCCGUUUGCCCUCCUCGACUGAAGUUGCCCCUCCGAAGGAAACAUAUAUAUUUUUUUAAAUAGUAUUACGGCUGCAGAACUUCAUGUAGGCCUAGAUAAAAUAAUCGCGGAAUAAGCGUCCAGGGGACGGUGGCGGCGGGCGGUUAGUGAGAGUUUCAA
ensembl:lncRNA